GCAUAUCAAUAAGCGGAGGAAAAGAAACCAACAGGGAUUGCCCUAGUAACGGCGAGUGAAGCGGCAACAGCUCAAAUUUGAAAUCUGGCUUCGGCCCGAGUUGUAAUUUGCAGAGGAAGCUUUAGGCGCGGCACCUUCUGAGUCCCCUGGAACGGGGCGCCAUAGAGGGUGAGAGCCCCGUAUAGUUGGAUGCCUAGCCUGUGUAAAGCUCCUUCGACGAGUCGAGUAGUUUGGGAAUGCUGCUCAAAAUGGGAGGUAAAUUUCUUCUAAAGCUAAAUACCGGCCAGAGACCGAUAGCGCACAAGUAGAGUGAUCGAAAGAUGAAAAGCACUUUGAAAAGAGGGUUAAAUAGCACGUGAAAUUGUUGAAAGGGAAGCGCUUGUGACCAGACUUGCGCCGGGCUGAUCAUCCGGUGUUCUCACCGGUGCACUCUGCCCGGCUCAGGCCAGCAUCGGUUCUCGCGGGGGGAUAAAGGUUCCGGGAACGUAGCUCCUCCGGGAGUGUUAUAGCCCGGGGCGUAAUGCCCUCGCGGGGACCGAGGUUCGCGCAUCUGCAAGGAUG
rnacentral:rRNA from 1 species